rnacentral:lncRNA from 1 species
AUGCAGGACUUGGAGCCAGCUUGGAUUGAACACUGUUCACCGGGAACUGUGGAACCGAGUUUCAGUCUCACUCCUUUAAGCAGAUGUUUAUCUUCUAUCUGUGGUCACCUUAGAGUGCAGUAUUUUAUUGUACUACACCCAGGUGGAGAAUUUCCACAGAGUUUCUUAACCUUGUGUUCUCAUUCUGUUGGUGCUUUGGGGCCUUGGACCACUGGGGACCUCUGCCCUGGCUCUGUCCCCAUCACUUCAUGCAAAUCCUUCAUUUCUCAGCAUGCUUCUGUUUUCUCCUGUUUUGGAAUUUGAAUUAACUUCCCCACUCAAGUUAGAGGUCAAGUCCACCAGCUGAGGUAUAAAAUCCCUGGGAUGAAUCCACACGGUAUCCCUUUGUCACUGUGAGCUGUAGGUCCAGGGGCAGGAAGAGUGUUUAAACAGCUUCUGCAGCCCAGGAGCCACUGAUGCAAAAUGAGAACAGCUUUUUUUCCUCAAUGGACAUGUUGUUUCCUAUUAAGUUCUUCUAUCUUUAGGUUGUCCCAUUCCUGCAUGUCUGUUUUGGUGAAACAAAGAAAAAUUAGCAUUGGGAAAGAGGGAUUUGGAAAGGAUCAUUAAGCUUUCUAGGCACAGAACGGGUAUAACCUGUUUGACUUUGCUCAGCUUUGCCAAGCUUGAAUCUUCCCUGUCUCCUGUAAGUGCUGAGCUCAUGCUUGGCCUGGCUGUGUCCUUAUCCAUCAGGGCUGAUGAACGGAGUUAUUGUCACUCGGUUGUACAGCAUUUAGCAAGCAGUGCUAAUCCAACCAUUACAGACUAAAAAAGAACAGUUAUACAUACUGUUCUGUAUCAUUUGGCGCUCUGCAGCCUCUUCUGUUGAAUUUUAAACGAAACGGUGUUUUGGAAGUCUGUCUUUCUGAACUUGGUGUUUUGCUGAGUCCAAAGGGCAUACAGAAUUUCACACCCCUCUCUUCCCCACAUCUUCACGUACACUGAUAACCCUCAGUGUCCUACUGUGCUGAGAGAAGCUAUGUGCAAAACCUUUAGAUUCUACAUGGAGUUUCCAUGUGCUGCGACCAGACAAUAGCUAGUAUUGCUACAAAUUCUAGCUUGUACCUUUGAGCUUCAGGCAGGAGAAGCAGUGGUAACAAUACAGAAAUUAUUGGGCUGUUUCACAGAAGUGAGAAGAGCUCUGCAUUCUGUACUGAUACAGAAAGAUUAAAAUGACUGGAUGAAGUUCACACAAGCUGAUGGCCAAACCAGGACUGAGGGUCAUCCAUCAUCCAGGCUUUCUUCUUAUUUGUUAGGCCUCAGUGUGUUGGAUGGAGAGCUCAUCAUCCUCACUGCUGCACUGGUGGUCUGGUGAAGGAUUUCAGUCUUUUAAUGGGAUCUGAAUGUUGGGUUGUAAUAAUUAUUUCUCAUUUCUGAUUUGAUAUAUGAACUAGAAAUUUUAAUAGCAGUUUUUACACAGCUCCUUUUCAAACUGGCUGCAUAAACAGAGAAAUAAAUUAAGGCUUACAAGUCUCCUCUGGGAAUGC